rnacentral:tRNA from 1 species
GGAGGGGUGCGAGAGCGGCCGAAUCGGCACGACUGGAAAUCGUGUGUCCUGCAAGGGACCGUGGGUUCGAAUCCCACCCUCUCCGCCA